UUCUAAUAUCUUCUUAAAUUAUUAGUAAAACCUGCUCCAUGUCCAAAUAAAUAGCCGCAGAACAUUCUGUGCUAAGGUAGCAUAAUCAUUAGUCUUUUAAUUGAAGACUUGUAUGAAAGGUUUAACAUUUUAAUUUCUUUUUUAUUUAAGCUUUUCUAAAUUAUACUAAAUAUAAAAAUAUAUUUAUAUAUUUAAAAGACGACAAGACCCUAUUGAACUUAACUUUUGUUUAGCUGGGGCAGCUAAUUAAUUAAUAUUUUAAAUUGACUAUUUUUUUAUAAAUGACCCAAUAAAAUUGAUUUUAUGAAUUAAGUUACCAUAGGGAUAACAGCGUAAUUUUUUUUAAAAGUUCAUAUUAAAAAAAAAGAUUGCGACCUCGAUGUUGAAUUAUUGUUACAAAUUAUACGCAGUAGUAUAUAAUGUAGGUCUGUUCGACCUUUAAAACUUU
rnacentral:rRNA from 1 species